GGCCUUGACAUACUAAGAACUUUCCAGUGAUGGAUUGGUGCCUUCGGGAACUUAGAUACAGGUGCUGCAUGGCUGUCGUCAGCUCGUGUCGUGAGAUGUUGGGUUAAGUCCCGNAACGAGCGCAACCCUUUUCCUUAUUUGCCAGCGGGUCAUGCCGGGAACUUUAAGGAUACUGCCAGUGACAAACUGGAGGAAGGCGGGGACGACGUCAAGUCAUCAUGGCCCUUACGGCCAGGGCUACACACGUGCUACAAUGGUCGGUACAAAGGGUUGCUACCUCGCGAGAGGAUGCUAAUCUCAAAAAGCCGAUCGUAGUCCGGAUCGCAGUCUGCAACUCGACUGCGUGAAGUCGGAAUCGCUAGUAAUCGCGGAUCAGAAUGCCGCGGUGAAUACGUUCCCGGGCCUUGUACACACCGCCCGUCACACCAUGGGAGUUUGUUGCACCAGAAGUAGGUAGUCUAACCGCAAGGAGGACGCUUACCACGGUGUGGCCGAUGACUGGGGUGAAGUCGUAACAAGGUAAGCGUAGAUGA
rnacentral:rRNA from 1 species